rnacentral:misc_RNA from 1 species
CAACCCUCAAGCCCUGCUUGGUGUUGGGCCCUGCCCGUCGCGGCCGGCCCUAAAGACAGUGGCGGUGCCGCCUGGCUCUGAGCGUAGUACAACUCUCGCUCCAGCGCCCGGCGGUGGCCUGCCAGAACCCCAACUCUGU